UUACGGCCAUAUCACGCAUCAACACUGUUUCCUGUACGAUCACCGAAGUUAAGCAACGUCGAACCAGGUCAGUACUUAGAUGGCUGACAGAUUGGGAAUCCCAGGUGCU